rnacentral:sRNA from 2 species
GCCAAAAACAAGCCGAAACUUCCGACAGCGGAAGUGCGGGGGACUUUUUUUGCAGACCACGGUCUGCAUGGGGUGAAUCGCCGAAUGGCGAAGGGUUGUCUCCUCAAUCCCAACCCGACAACUAACCUCGUAGGCGAAGAAAAGGAGACGA